rnacentral:rRNA from 1 species
AUGAUCUCCUCCUCGCUCCUCUCGCGCCCCCGCCUCGCCCCGCGCCCCGUCCCCGCUGCGGCCUCCCCCUGCCGCGCCCGCCUCGCGGUCGGCGGCGGCGGCGCGCGCGGGCUCGCGGCCGGCGUGCGGUGCCAGGCGCAGGCGGGGGACAUGGACGCGCACUACAUGCGGCGGUGCGUCGACCUGGCGCGGACGGCGGCCGGGCACACCAGCCCAAACCCCAUGGUGGGCUGCGUCAUCGUCCGCGAAGGAGAGGUCGUCGGCGAGGGAUUCCACCCCAAAGCCGGCCAGCCCCACGCCGAGGUAUUUGCUUUGAGAGACGCAGGGGAUUUAGCUGAGAAUGCAACGGCUUAUGUGAGUUUGGAGCCCUGCAACCACUACGGGAGAACCCCUCCCUGCACUGAAGCACUCAUCAAAGCCAAAAUUAAGGAGGUUGUGGUGGGGAUGACUGACCCGAAUCCUAUUGUAGCAUCCAAAGGGAUUGAAAAACUCAGAAACGCCGGCAUAGAUGUAAGGGUUGGUGUGGAGGAAGCAUUAUGUCUCAGAUUAAAUGAGGCUUAUAUUCACCGUAUGCUUACUGGGAAGGCCUUUGCAACUUUGAGAACUACACUCUCGAUGAACGGAAUUGUCAUAAACCAAAUCGGGAGCGGAGCUGAUCAACCAGGAGGAUACUACUCACAGUUAGCAAAAGAAUACGAUGGAGUUGUAAUUUCAAGUGACAUGGCCAAGGCGACUACCUUACCAAUAUCACAAGAGGCUGGCGCAAAGCAGCCUCUUUACAUCAUCAUAGCGCAGGGAGAAGGUUCCAAAUUGCACAUCCCGUUUCUCGACGAGGAGUCUGCAUCUAACGCCAUAGUCCUUGCCGAUAGCCCCGUCGCCGUGGAGCCAUCGGGAGUCAGCGUCUCGGUCCUUGAUGAGAUGAACCUGGACUCCAUCCUUCGAAUUCUCGCCGAUCGAGGGUUAUGCAGCGUGCUGGUGGAUUUCAGAGAUGCCGGAGGCGCCCUGGCGUCGCUGCUGAAGGAUUUUCAGGAGGACAAGCUGGUGCAGAAGGUUCUCGUGGAGCUCUCUCCUGUGUGGAUGGUGAGCCCUGGGCCUAGCGACCUGGCGUUUGGUGGCAGCCAGUCGUUUGCACUCAAGAAUGUGGAGCACAAGGAGGUGAAUGGAACUUUGCUGCUUGAGGGAUAUUUGUAG